GUGAAAGAAGGUGACAUAGUAAUACCAGUAUUUCAAAGAAACUGUGGAGAAUGUAGAGAUUGCAAGUGUCCAAAGGGAAAUAUCUGUUCAAAAUUCCCUGAGGAUUUUCUGUGUGGAAUGCCUAGAGAUGGAAGCAGUAGGUUCAAGGACAAAAAUGGAGAAAAAUUGUACCAUACAUUAUGGGUUUCCAGCUUCACUGAGUAUACUGUUGUUGAUGUAACACAUGUGGUGAAGAUGAAUCCUCAUUUUCCAAUUGAUAAGGCUUCUUUACUUUCUUGUGGGGUUUCUACAGGAUUGGGAGCUGCAUGGAGAGUUGCAGAUAUUGAAGAAGGUUCUAUUGUAGCUGUAUUUGGACUAGGAGCCGUGGGACUAGCGGUCGUACAA
rnacentral:misc_RNA from 1 species